rnacentral:rRNA from 1 species
CGAACGGGUGAGUAACGCGUGGGUAACCUGCCUUAUAGCGGGGGAUAACUAUUGGAAACGAUAGCUAAUACCGCAUAACAAUAGAGAUUGCAUAAUCUUUAUUUGAAAGUGCCAACUGGUACACUAUGAGAUGGACCCGCGUUGUAUUAGCUAGUUGGUAGUGUAAUGGACUACCAAGGCGAUGAUACAUAGCCGACCUGAGAGGGUGAUCGGCCACAUUGGGACUGAGACACGGCCCAAACUCCUACGGGAGGCAGCAGUAGGGAAUCUUCGGCAAUGGACGAAAGUCUGACCGAGCAACGCCGCGUGAGUGAAGAAGGUUUUCGGAUCGUAAAACUCUGUUGUUAGAGAAGAAUGUUGAUUAGAGUGGAAAAUUAAUCAAGUGACGGUAUCUAACCAGAAAGGGACGGCUAACUACGUGCCAGCAGCCGCGGUAAUACGUAGGUCCCGAGCGUUGUCCGGAUUUAUUGGGCGUAAAGCGAGCGCAGGUGGUUUAAUAAGUCUGAUGUAAAAGGCAGUGGCUCAACCAUUGUGUGCAUUGGAAACUGUUAGACUUGAGUGCAGUAGAGGAGAGUGGAAUUCCAUGUGUAGCGGUGAAAUGCGUAGAUAUAUGGAGGAACACCGGUGGCGAAAGCGGCUCUCUGGACUGUCACUGACACUGAGGCUCGAAAGCGUGGGUAGCAAAUAGGAUUAGAUACCCUGGUAGUCCACGCCGUAAACGAUGAGUGCUAGUUGUUUGGGGGCUAUCCAGCCCUAAGUGACGCAGCAAACGCAUUAAGCACUCCGCCUGGGGAGUACGACCGCAAGGUUGAAACUCAAAGGAAUUGACGGGGGCCCGCACAAGCGGUGGAGCAUGUGGUUUAAUUCGAAGCAACGCGAAGAACCUUACCAGGUCUUGACAUACUCGUGCUA